rnacentral:rRNA from 1 species
ACGUAUUGCGAGGAUUACCGAGGCUGCCUAACUAGCGCAUCAAGAGCAGAGGUGAUGAGUCAUUAGCGGGUUGAAUUCCGCACAAUGCUAGGAGAAUCGCAUCAGGUCCAUGGCCAUCCAGCUGGCCACCGUUGAGCCAUCGGUGCGGCCUUUUCGCUAUACGCAGCUGCGAAAGGGGAUGUGCUGCAAGCGAUAGUGGGUACGCAGGGUUUUCCAGUCACGACGUGUAAACGACGCCAGUUCCGGUUGAUCCUGCCGGAGGUCACUGCUAUUGGGAUUCGAUUAAGCCAUGCGAGUCGAGAGGGUUCGGCCCUCGGCUGACGGCUCAGUAACACGUGGAUAAUCUGCCCUUAGGUGGAGGAUAAUCUCGGGAAACUGAGGACAAUACUCCAUAGGUUUAGGAGGCUGGAAUGCAUCUAGACUGAAAGCUCCGGCGCCUAAGGAUGAGUCUGCGGACUAUCAGGUAGUAGUCAGGGUAAAGACCUGACUAGCCUACGACGGAUACGGGUUGUGAGAGCAAUAACCCGGAGACGAUAUCUGAGACACGAUAUCGGGCCCUACGGGGCGCAGCAGGCGCGAAAACUUCACACUGUGCGAAAGCACGAUGAGGGAAUCCCAAGUGCUUGCUCGUAAGAGUAAGCUGUUUUUCUGUCUAAAACGCAGAGAGAGUAAGAGCUGGGUAAGACGGGUGCCAGCCGCCGCGGUAAUACCUGCAGCUCAAGUGGUGGCCGCUAUUAUUGGGCCUAAAACGUCCGUAGCCGGUUUAGUAAAUGCCUGGGUAAAUCGUGUAGCUUAACUAUACGAAUUCCGGGUAGACUGCUAAACUUGAGACCGGGAGAAGCCAGAGGUACUCCUAGGGUAGAGGUGAAAUUCUGUAAUCCUAGGGGGACCACCAGUGGCGAAGGCGUCUAGCUAGAACGGGUCUGACGGUGAGGGACGAAACCCUGGGGCGCAAACCGGAUUAGAUACCCGGGUAGUCCAGGGCGUAAACGCUGCUUGCUUGAUGUUAGUUGGGCUCCGAGCCCAAUUAGUGUCGGAGAGAAGUUGUUAAGCAAGCUGCCUGGGAAGUACGGUCGCAAGGCUGAAACUUAAAGGAAUUGGCGGGGGAGCACAGCAACGGGUGGAGCGUGCGGUUUAAUUGGAAUCAACGCCGGA